rnacentral:rRNA from 1 species
AGCGAACGCUGGCGGCGUGCUUAACACAUGCAAGUCGAGCGAGAAAGGGGGCUUCGGCCCCUGAGUACAGCGGCGAACGGGUGCGUAAUACAUGAGCAAUCUACCCUUGAGGCGGGAAUAACCCAGCGAAAGUUGGGCUAAUACCGGAUAAGACCACAAGAGGAGACCCUAGAGGCUAAAGGCAGCUCUCUUUUGGGGGCGGCCCUUUGAGGAGGAGCUCAUGUCCUAUCAGCUAGUUGGUAGGGUAACGGCCUACCAAGGCGAAGACGGGUAGCUGGUCUUAGAGGAUGAUCAGCCACACGGGGACUGAGACACGGCCCCGACUCCUACGGGAGGCAGCAGUGGGGAAUAUUGGGCAAUGGGGGAAACCC